CGCCAUGUUUACGGUAUUCGUAAAAGAUGUAGCGAAUACAGAAAACGGAGAUGGUUGUUAAAGCUAUUAAAUUAAUUGAUUUUGGGAUGUAAUUUAGAGAUGAAAAUGACGUGUACUGAAAUUGAGAUGAAUAAGGUUGAUUCACCUUCGAAGGAAGUUGCUGAACUGGAAG